rnacentral:ncRNA from 1 species
UUUGUGGUGUCCUUAACGGACUCAAUAGGGAAUCGGGUGUGAAUCCCGGACAGUUCCCGCUGCUGUGUUGGUUACAACGCUUGCCAUGAAUGUCACUGAAAGCCAUGUCUUUCGGGAAGGCGGCAAGAAACGACCUCAGUCAGAAGACCUGCCUCAAGUCAU